rnacentral:rRNA from 1 species
UACGAAGGGGGCUAGCGUUGUUCGGAAUCACUGGGCGUAAAGCGCACGUAGGCGGACUCUUAAGUCAGGGGUGAAAUCCUGGAGCUCAACUCCAGAACUGCCUUUGAUACUGGGAGUCUUGAGUUCGGGAGAGGUGAGUGGAACUGCGAGUGUAGAGGUGAAAUUCGUAGAUAUUCGCAAGAACACCAGUGGCGAAGGCGGCUCACUGGCCCGAUACUGACGCUGAGGUGCGAAAGCGUGGGGAGCAACAGG